rnacentral:rRNA from 1 species
GACGAACGCUGGCGGUGCGCCUUAUGCAUGCAAGUCGAGCGAAGCUUUUCAGUAGUUUACUACAGAAAAUGACUGAGCGGCGAACGGGUGAGUAACGCGUGAGCAAUCUACCUUAGUUACAGGGAUAGCCCGAGGAAACUCGGAUUAAUACCUGAUAUUCUUUAUUUCUCGCAUGAGAAUAAAAGGAAAGGUCAGCCGAACUAAGAUGAGCUCGCGUUCUAUCAGCUAGUUGGUGAGGUAAAAGCUUACCAAGGCUACGACGGAUAGCUGGUCUGAGAGGACGAUCAGCCACACUGGGACUGAGACACGGCCCAGACUCCUACGGGAGGCUGCAGCAGGGAAUAUUGUGCAAUGAACGAAAGUUUGACACAGCGACACCGCGUGUGGGAUGACGGAUCUAGGUUUGUAAACCACUUUCAGGAGGGAAGAAAAUGACGGUACCUCCACAAGAAGCCCCGGCCAACUACG